rnacentral:rRNA from 1 species
GGGCUAAAGCGUCGUAGCUGGCUGCGCAAGAUCGUCGGGAAAUCCACUCGCCCAACGAGUGGGCGUCCGACGGAAACUGCACAGCUUGGGACCGGAAGGCUCGAAGGGUACGUUCGGGGUAGGAGUGAAAUCCUAUAAUCCCGCACGGACCACCGAUGGCGAAAGCACUUCGAGAAAACGGAUCCGACAGUGAGGGACGAAAGCCAGGGUCUCCAAC